UACGAAGGGGGCUAGCGUUGUUCGGAAUCACUGGGCGUAAAGCGCACGUAGGCGGAUCUUUAAGUCAGGGGUGAAAUCCCGAGGCUCAACCUCGGAACUGCCUUUGAUACUGGGGAUCUCGAGUCCGGGAGAGGUGAGUGGAACUGCGAGUGUAGAGGUGAAAUUCGUAGAUAUUCGCAAGAACACCAGUGGCGAAGGCGGCUCACUGGCCCGAUACUGACGCUGAGGUGCGAAAGCGUGGGGAGCAAACAGG
rnacentral:rRNA from 1 species